AUUCUGUGUUUGACUUACUGCGAGGUUGCCGGACCUUUCUCCCAACCUGCAAGGUAUAAGGGUUCCUAUUCCUUUUUUUAAUUGCUAAAAUUGUGAUUUAAAAAAAGUAUAAACACGUUUUAAUCUUCUGUUUUGGGCUUUUUGAGGCAGGGUCUCACUAUAAAACAGCGGUGGUGAACCCAUGACACGCGCCAUUGUGGGCAUGCGGUCUCCUCUCUGUCAGCUUGCAAGGAUCAAUUUUUCUGCGAUCCCCUUUGUUGGGAGGUGCGGUACCAACUGCAGUGUCAACUAUCAGAAACGAAGAAGUUGCUCCUGUCACAACCCUUCCGGGGGGAAGGCAAUGGAUACCAGGGAGAGGGGGCUCCCCUCCAUUUCUGCUCCUCCUCCUGAGACAGCCUACGACAUAUUCUUCUUUCCCUCCUUCGAGGUCUGAGUGCCAAUGCCAGCUGGAACUCCUGCAGUGUGACAGCCUGGGGACCGAGGCAGCCCGCGCACCCACCCAGCACUGCUCUGCUUUUCCAAUUGGAAUCCAUCAGCAGCUCCUCCUGCCUUCCCCCUAGGCGCGGUGGAAAGGUUUCCUGUUUAUGCCUCGCUUGAGAACCCACAACGGAGAGAGGCUUUGAAACAAACCCACCGGUGAAGUGCGAGGAGGGAGAGGCGGCCCGUUUGUUUCUUCACUCCAGUUGCGCUACAGCUUGUGCCCGGGGCUCCCUGGGGCUCCGGAGAAGGAAGCCGAGGGCGGUGGCAUGAAUGACAGAGUUGUGAGCUGGUGACAAGCAUCUUCUUAGGUAAAUGCUUCGGGUUGCCUGCCUGCAGCAGUUCAGAUGUGGCUGGAUUCUCGUUUGCAGGAAGCGGUGAAAAAGGCUUUACUUUCUCUGGGCUGAGAGGCCCUAGGAAGGGGCAGAGGGACAGAAGCAAUUCCAGGGUGUGGCUGGGUGCCAGGCAGAGGUAGUGCAGGGUCAAGCCCCUUAUUUCAGGCCAUUCAAUUCAUUUAUGCACACAGUUAAUAAAUGUGAAUUUGAAUUAAGGACUCACCAAGAUGCUCAGAUUUUGGGAGCUUUCUUAGCCUUGAAUGUGGAACAUGACAGCUUGGAAAGGUUACGUGAUCUGCUGCAUGUCACAAGGUCAGUCAUCAGCAGUAGUAAAAGUCAAACUCGUCUCCUGCCUUCCAGUCUGGUGCUCCCAGCCUUUGUGGAGGUGGCUAAGAAGGGCCCAGCAGAUCCCUGCCUAGCAUACUGCUCUGGGUGGGGCACCUCCUUGCGGCCGGACAAAUGUGGCUGCCCGGGGCUGACACCUGGCCAUGUGCAUAGUGGCCUACCCUUCUGCAGUGCUGAUCUAUGACCUGAGCACUUCAUAGACUGCAUUCCGUGCUCUGUGUUUAUAAAGCCCCGUCAGCUCGGGGUGUGGACAGGAGUGACCUGCGCUGUCUAAACAAACCGCGAGCUUCUGGCGGCCUGCCUGGCUGCCUGCCUGCCGGGGUGCGUGUGACAUCCUCCUUCCCUCCAGGUCAGCCUGGCUGGAAAGACAACGCCCCAAAGCGAGCAGGGGCUGGUCGAUCUCCCAUGCAAAGGUGGGUGGAUCCCAGGAUGAUACUGCUGGCUCCCUAACCAAUCCUUGGUCUUUGAUUUCUUUUUUCCUAUUUCCCUUAAUCAUCAAGAGACAAAGAGAAGACCAUGGUGGGGGUGGAAUUGGAGCAGUUUUCACGUAUGAGAAGCCACAGAAGUCCAUUUCAGUAAAAAUGGAGGCCUAGAUGUUUCUGCCCCUAAAUAAUGCAACUUUGGCUUGUCAUCCUAGAUAUAUGUGUGAAAAAUCAGGCUUAAGCCUGUCAUUUUAAACAGCUUUGCAAAUGACACAGAAAUUAUGCUAUUUUUAGGUCAAACACCUUGCAGAAGUUGACAUUUUAAGGUUUGGUUACAUGUGAAAACAUCCAACGGGAAACGUGCAAUUUUUCUCUUCUCCAGGAACAAUAAACAGGAGGAGCAGCUUCAAUUUAUGUGUGUUCUUACCUCCUUGGGUUCGCAUCUCUGCUGUUUAUGGUGGAAUUCUCCAUGCAGGCCCUCAACAUGGCAAAUGUCACCGAAUGCCUGGCCCUCGGAGAUGCAGUCCGCCGUCCUUACAAAUGAGCACAGGUCAUUAGCGUGGGGCUGCUUUUGUUCCCUAACUAUGGUGUCUUCUCCCUCUGCACAGAGUGCGCUAUAUAUAAAGUCAGAACCAUUCAGAGUCACAAGAGGUCUAUAUAAAGCCCUACUGAGAGAUGAAAGAUGUUUUUAACCCUUUCUUCUUGGGAGCCUGUGGCAGCUGUAACCACUCAAGUCGCAGACUGUGCGAAGUUCUGUUCUGGGCCCAUGUGGCGUGGGGAGGCAGAUAGGAAGAGGACGGGGGGUGAGUGCAGCAGGAGGGAGGAAGAGGUGGUCUCCCCCUUGCAGAUCCUGCUCCCCACUUCCUGCUCAGGUUAGAGCUGCUGGGAUUGGGGACAAUGACAAAAGAGAAUAAGGUGUGCCUGGACGAGCAAGACUAGGGACAUGGGGACAGAGGUGCAGCUACCCACCCACCGGGAGUGCUGUUUGUGGUUAGGACCAGGGCCUUGUUCCCUGAAGUCUCUGCCCAGGGUCAGGGUGCUUGAAUCCACUAUGGUGGUA